GGAGGGCCCAUAGUGCAGUGGUUGUGUAUCUGCUUACCAUGCAGAAUGUCCCAGGUGAAAUUCCUGGAAUCUCCA